UCUGGGGGAUGCCUUUAUGCUUUUGACAGGUGUCACAGAGCAGAGAAGCCAAGUUUUCUUUGCUAAAACUUUCAGGACUUCUGAACUGUGAAACAUUCUAGCCUAUCAACCUCUGAAGAUAAAGACCAUCCAAAACAGCAGCACCAGGUCGGCACUGCGCAAGGCUAUGGCAACUGUGUGUCUGAGCGGGUGCACGGGGAGAGGAGCGUAGGCUACAAUUAACUUCCUGCUCAGAAAAGUCGAGGCUAACAUAUCUCUGUGCGGAAUAAUACUAACCAAACUUUUAAAUUAUCGAAUCACCAAGCCAUUAUAGGCCAACGCUACGGAAUAUGGGUUUUCAUACCUUUGUAUUAUAGGCCUACCCGAUGGUUCGCAAUUGUAACUUGGUUCAAACUGCAUGCAUGAGAAUUAAAACUGGAGGAAUCUAUCAAUUCUACAUUUGUAUGCGGAUGCAUAACUAACAAGCCACAGUUGUCGACUCUUUAGUGUCGCAUUAACCAGCAGGGGGACAGUCACAGCAUCAGUAGAGCUGUAGAGAGACUCAGUCAAACUCAAGUGUGGUCAGCAAUAACGCGGGUCAUUGCCUUUCACAAGUUGAAAUGACCAGCACAGUCAAGCUCCCAAAGCCUUGCGCUUACGCUCAGUAGACACCUCAGAGGUAAGUGGAAAUUCCGAAUUCUGUAUGGUUACAAUUCGAGUAAAUGUUUUGAAUAACAGUAGCGUAUAGCCAUCUUUGAAUUAUAGUAGCCGGACCCAACUGUCUCCACUCAUUUCCUUCUUAUUGGCUUAAUGGCUGCCUGAAAAGCAAAGAGCUGACUUUCUCUGAAGAUAUUUGAAAUAUGCAAUUCUGUAAAGUGUAUUUCUUUUAUAUGAAUGAAGACAUGAACGAACCAUAUAUGUCUGAAACUGCACCUUUUAUGCACUCAUGGUUCAUCUCAUGGAGUGUAUCCCAAGUCCUCCCUGUAAAAAGCCUAAAUAUGUGUACAUUGUUAUUGAAUUGAUAUGUAUGGUCCAGUUCUCUCUGAAGAAUGGUCUUUUGUAGAUGUCCUUCACUUUCAUUCCUACAUGGCAUAUGUAUCUUUAAUUAUAAAUACCACUUUCUUCUUGCUUUGUAAGUUAGAUUUAAGAUGGGCCUAUGUUUACUGUCUAACAUUUUCAAGUAUUACCACAAGUCUCUUACUGAAAGAUAAUAGGCUUUCUAAAAAGGAAAGAAAAAAGAAAAACAUGUUCCCAUUAAUAACGCUUUCAAAUGCCAGUAGCCCUGGUGCGUUGGGUCCAUCCGCGG
ensembl:lncRNA